rnacentral:pre_miRNA from 1 species
CUCUAUGUUGUCCUCAUUGUACAUGCUGUGUGUAUAUUUAUGACGUACACAGCGCAUGCAAUGUGGACAGAAUGGAG